rnacentral:rRNA from 1 species
UCCAGACUCCUACGGGAGGCAGCAGUAGGGAAUUUUGCGCAAUGGGGGAAACCCUGACGCAGCAACACCGCGUGAAUGUUAAGCCCUUCGGGGUGUAAAGUUCUGUCAAUAGGGACGAAUUUUGACUGUACCUAUAAAGGAAGCACCGGCUAACUCCGUGCCAGCAGCCGCGGUAAUACGGAGGAUGCGAGCGUUAUCCGGAUUUAUUGGGUUUAAAGGGUGCGUAGGCGGGCUGUUAAGUCAGCGGUCAAAUGUCGGGGCUCAACCCCGGCCUGCCGUUGAAACUGGCGGCCUCGAGUGGGCGAGAAGUAUGCGGAAUGCGUGGUGUAGCGGUGAAAUGCAUAGAUAUCACGCAGAACUCCGAUUGCGAAGGCAGCAUACCGGCGCCCUACUGACGCUGAGGCACGAAAGCGUGGGUAUCGAACAGGAUUAGAUACCCGAGUAA